CUCACGAGCCCGCCGUCAUGCCCUCCACCGCCUCGCGAACCCUCCGCCGCCUCGCGAACCCGCCGCCGUGCCCCCCGCCUGCUGCUCCGCCCGCCGACCUCCACCCUUCACCUCCAUCCUCGACCUCCGCCCCACCGCUGAGGCCUUCGACUAAUCAUGACAUCCCAGCGCCUCGCAAGCCCACCGUCGCGCCCUCCGCCUACCGAUCCCGGCUCACCCAGCGUGCAGAGGCUGUGACGGGGGUGCGCGCGGCCAACCAGACGGUGGCCCCAAACCCGCACGGUCAGAUCGAAGCCACGACACGGCGACUCCCGCGAGCCGGAGGAGCCCUCCACCUGCCGCUCCGCCCGCCCGCCGGCCUCCACCCUUCACCUCACUCCUCGAGCUCCACCUCGCCGCUCAGGCAUUCGGCUGGGCUGCGACGUCUCGGCGCCUCGCCAACACGCCGUCGCGUCCUCGAUUCUGAACAAACGGCAGACAAAAGCUAGCACAUGGGACUCCAAACAACUCUCCCUUUCCAAUGGGGAAACCUGGAUCCAAUCCAAUCUGCCUGGGCCAAAAAGAAAAAAAAAAUCCUUGAGCGCACACCUCGAACUGAUCUGCAACUACAAGGGCGCCAACAUACAAGAAGUAUCACCAAGAUCCUUGCAUAUUAGAGUCAAAAUACUGGUUAAUUUGAUGAGGUAUGCUUCUGUUUCCCCAAAUGAUAAGGUGAUUUGUGCUUCUUGCAUGUUCGUAAGAUCUGGCCUAUAUAUGUUUUUGAAAAUUAUUUAUUGGAGAGCACCUCCAUCUGUAUGUCAUCCUUGAUAAUUCACAGCAAGCAGUAUUAUAGAUUAUGACUUGCUUUCAUCAUUUAUUCAUUUUGAUCUAAUCAAUUGAAUUUUGGAUUGUCAUUUGGUAAAGAGCUCCAUUGUCUUGCCUGUGUCUGGUCGUUUAGGCUUCAGUGCCACUGGGUACCAUAAUAAUACUAACACAUUUAGCCUUUUGAUGUUUCUUUGCUGUAUGUAGUCCAUCUGAACCUAUAAACCAUGGUCCAUCUGAACCAAUAAACCAUGAGAUCGAUCAGUAAAGCUAUCUUUUCAGUUCUAUGAUGGUAAUCUCUCUUUUUAUAAAUCUCUUAUGGUGUUAGUAUCGUUAGCCUUCCUAUCUGGUUGUGGUUGCUGUUAUUAGUUCUGUAAAUUAAAAUCCGGUAAUUCGAGACACAUUGGAUUUUAAAUAUUGCCCUGGUGCAUGGCAGUGAGAAUGUGAGAUAAGAUCGACUAAUUUGUUCUUCAUUUCUGAUGGCUUAUUUUAAGAUGGAUCAUGGAUGAUGCUGUAUCUGCUUAUGUUAUGGAUACGUCAGUUGUGUCCAUGGGAUUCGUGGGAAUUCCACACAUUAGUUUUUGCGUAUGCCAGGAUGCCUAAAAAUCACCGAAGCAGUCAGUCCAAUGUCUGUAAGAGAAUAUGCUUGGGGCAGAUAAAUUUCAGAUAACUACAGAUAGAUGCAUGAUGCAGUUUUUGGAAUCAGUCGAAUGCUUAUAGGAUAAGAUGAUAUGCAUGGGACAUAACUAUAAGAAGUUAGUCAUUUUGUGGGCAAUUAGUUCAAUACUUGUAUGAGCACAUGAUUGGGGCAUAAUUUGAUAUAGCUACCAAAAAAAUCAAUGUGGUUGUUUUUGGAUUCAGUUCUAAAUUUCUGAUUGUCCUAUCCUGUAUGCAUUCAGGUGUCCCUAAGCUUUGAUCUUCAUGAAUAGCAUUUGAGGUACACAUGAAACAAAGCUCCCUGUUAACCAAACUUAGGUGCUUGCCUAAAGUUGGAAUCAAUAAGCAUAUACUCAAAAGUUAUCUCCUCAGCUAUUCAAAAAAAUUUCACAAUAAUCUGCUUCACAAGUGCACAAUUACUUAAAGGAGAACAUGAUCUAAUUUCUGAUGUCAGGGUAGUGAUCAGAUGGAAUUGACGGAUUCAUUAUAUUAAAUCAAAGUGAUCCAGUGCCGAGAGGGUUGAAGUGACCUUCCUAUGUAAUAUUGUAAACAUCUAUAAUUGAAAAGAUAAAAUAGUUUAUUUUUUAAAACAUCUUUCUAAUAUUGUAAAUUCUUCUCUCUUUUUUAGAUGCUUAUCAAAUUCUUUGCUAUGUAAAGAUAACAUUCACAAUUCUUCGAAUGAGGAGCUCUGCUUAAAUCAUGCCCAAUCUGUAUUGAGCGAAUUCGGAAGAUUGAUGUGUUCCUUAUCUAAACUGGAAGCCUCUCAAAGCACUGCAUGUUCCUUCUUUAACCAUUGUGAUACUUGCUUUUCUUACCAUAUCCUGUAGGUAGUGAAUAGGGAUAUUCAACACAUUUUAUCCAGUACUACAUAUUUUUUCUA